CGGUAAUACGGAGGGUGCGAGCGUUAAUCGGAAUUACUGGGCGUAAAGCGCAUGCAGGUGGUUUGUUAAGUCAGAUGUGAAAGCCCGGGGCGUCAACCUCGGAAUUGCAUUUGAAACUGGCAGACUAGAGUACUGUAGAGGGGGGUAGGAAUUUCAGGUGUAGCGGUGAAAAUGCGUAGAGAUCUGAAGGAAUACCGGUGGCGAAGGCGGCCCCCUGGACGGAUACUGACACUCAGAUGCGAAAGCGUGGGGAGCAAACAGGAUUAGAUACCCCUGGUAG
rnacentral:rRNA from 1 species